CUUAAUUAAUUGAGUAAAUUGCCAGUUGCAAGUGCUCAUGGGAAGUCUGGUGUAACAUCAGAGACCAGAAGGCUGUGAGGAUGUGAGAAUGGACAUGAAGCACCUGGAACAUUCUGGAACACUCCUUACAAAUCCUGCACCAACACCACUAAUGAAGAGAAGUUGAAUAGAGAUAAAACAGGAGGUGCCAGCAUUAUGGGAUGGCGGUGUAA